rnacentral:tRNA from 1 species
GAGCGUAUAGCUCAGUGGUAGAGCACAUGCUUAGCAUACACGAGGUCCUGGGUUCAAGCCCCAGUACCUCCA